GACGAACGCUGGCGGCGUGCUUAACACAUGCAAGUCGAACGGAAAGGCCCUGCUUUUGUGGGGUGCUCGAGUGGCGAACGGGUGAGUAACACGUGAGUAACCUGCCCUUGACUUUGGGAUAACUUCAGGAAACUGGGGCUAAUACCGGAUAGGAGCUCCUGCUGCAUGGUGGGGGUUGGAAAGUUUCGGCGGUUGGGGAUGGACUCGCGGCUUAUCAGCUUGUUGGUGGGGUAGUGGCUUACCAAGGCUUUGACGGGUAGCCGGCCUGGGAGGGUGACCGGCCACAUUGGGACUGAGAUACGGCCCAGACUCCUACGGGAGGCAGCAGUGGGGAAUAUUGCACAAUGGGCGGAAGCCUGAUGCAGCAACGCCGCGUGCGGGAUGACGGCCUUCGGGUUGUAAACCGCUUUCGCCUGUGACGAAGCGUGAGUGACGGUAAUGGGUAAAGAAGCAACGGCUAACUACGUG
rnacentral:rRNA from 1 species